GGAGUUAUUGUAUAAUUCGACAAAGUAUCGACUUGUUGUAAUUCCUCUCUCAUGUUAUUCGGUGAUGUAGAAAGAAGUGACGUCAAGCAAAGAACUUUUCCUUCGGAUUCCAAAUGUCGACUGCGUCUCAAAUUAUAACGUUUUUCCAUAAAAAUUUGCUUGAAGUUGGAGUAUGUGUCUACGUUGGGAUGAUAAAUUCAGAAACUCGAUGAAAAAUUUAAUUAUCAAGGACGGACACUCUCUUGGAUGGACACACAUACGAGCAUAAGUUGGGAAGAAAUGAGGAAGAAAGAGAGUGAGACAAACAGGGAGAGAGAGAGAGAGAGAAACAUAAACUACUCUACACCUUCUUCCUCUCAAUUCAUUCAUAUUCGAGAGUUUAGAUAGAAAAUACCUAUGGACUUAAAAGAGAAGAGGAAUUCUCUUUAUCUCUUUCACUUUGACUAUGUAUGUUAUAUGUCGUAAUUUACAUGUAUAGUGGAGACUAUAAAGUUAGAAAAAAUUCACGUUCCUGGAAUACAUAGAAUAAUUUUCAGAGUAAAUUUUCUCUUAAAUUGACAAAAAAGAAACGAAAUUGAAAUUGAACUUAAAGAGAUAACGUUUUUUUUUUCUUU